UACGGGGGGGGCAAGCGUUGUUCGGAAUUACUGGGCGUAAAGGGCCAGUAGGCGGCCAACUAAGUCCGACGUGAAAUCCCCAGGCUUAACCUGGGAACUGCGUCGGAUACUGGAUGGCUUGAAUUCGGGAGAGGGAUGCAGAAUUCCAGGUGUAGCGGUGAAAUGCGUAGAUAUCUGGAGGAAUACCGGUGGCGAAGGCGACUCACUGGACACAUAUUGACGCUGAGGUGCGAAAGCGUGGGGAGCAAACAGG
rnacentral:rRNA from 1 species